UGAACUACUUCAGACUUCAAAACAACCUACC
rnacentral:piRNA from 1 species